rnacentral:rRNA from 1 species
UACGAAGGGGGCUAGCGUUGUUCGGAAUACUGGGCGUAAAGCGUAUGCAGGCGGAUCGUUAAGUCGGGGGUGAAAUCCCGAGGCUCAACCUCGGAACUGCCUUCGAUACUGGCGAUCUUGAGUCCGGAAGAGGUGAGUGGAACUCCUAGUGUAGAGGUGGAAUUCGUAGAUAUUAGGAAGAACACCAGUGGCGAAGGCGGCUCACUGGUCCGGUACUGACGCUGAGGUGCGAAAGCGUGGGGAGCAAACAG